rnacentral:rRNA from 1 species
GUACGUAAGUUGUUGCAGUUAAAAAGCUCGUAGUUGGAUCUCAGGCUUGUGGCCGGUGGUCCGCUCGAUACGGGUGUGCACUGCCGUGUCCGGCCUACGUCUGGUCUAACGUCCAUAGUGCCCUUAACCGGGUGCUAUGGAAUGCCAGAAAGUUUACUCUGAAAAAAUUAGAGUGCUCAAAGCAAGCCGUUUGUGCUUGAAUACUGUUGCAUGGAAUAAUGGAAUAGGACCUCGGUUCUAUUUUGUUGGUUUUCGGAGUCGAGGUAAUGAUUAAGAGGGACAGACGGGGGCAUUCGUAUUGCGCCGUUAGAGGUGAAAUUCUUGGAUCGGCGCAAGACGAACAACUGCGAAAGCAUUUGCCAAGGAUGUUUUCAUUAAUCAAGAACGAAAGUCAGAGGUUCGAAGACGAUCAGAUACCGUCGUAGUUCUGACCAUAAACGAUGCCAACUGGCGAUCCGCCGCAGUCUGGCUUAAAGGACUCGGCGGGCAGCCUCCGGGAAACCUAAGUCUAUGGGUUCCGGGGGAAGUAUGGUUGCAAAGCUGAAACUUAAAGGAAUUGACGGAAGGGCACCACCAGGAGUGGAGCCUGCGGCUUAAUUUGACUCAACACGGGAAAACUCACCCGGGCCAGGACACCGU